rnacentral:rRNA from 1 species
CCUACGGGAGGCUGCAGUGGGGAAUCUUGCACAAUGGGCGAAAGCCUGAUGCAGCGAUUCCGCGUGGAGGAUGACGCAUUACGGUGUGUAAACUCCUUUUUUGGUGGAAGACGAAUGACGGUACACCAAGAAUAAGGGACGGCUAACUACGUGCCAGCAGCCGCGGUAAUACGUAGGUCCCAAGCGUUAUCCGGAUUUACUGGGCGUAAAGUGUCCGUAGCCGGAUAUACAAGUCUGUUUUCAAAUACCACGACUCAAUCGUGGAAAGGGAAUAGAUACUGUAUAUCUAGAGAAUAUUGGAGGUUAGUGGAAUUUCCGGUGGAGCGGUGAAAUGCGUUGAUAUCGGAAAGAACGCCGAAAGCGAAAGCAGCUAACUAUGAUAUUUCUGACGGUGAUGGACGAAAGCUUGAGGAGCAAACGGGAUUAGAUACCCCGGUAGUC